rnacentral:rRNA from 1 species
AAAUGAAUAGACGGGGGCUCGCACAAGCAGCGGAGCAUGUGGUUUAAUUCGAAGCAACGCGAAGAACCUUACCAGGGCUUGACAUCCCUCUGGAGUAUAUGGAGACAUAUACGGCUUAUGCUUUAGGGCAUAGGACAGAGGAGACAGGUGGUGCAUGGUUGUCGUCAGCUCGUGUCGUGAGAUGUUGGGUUAAGUCCCGCAACGAGCGCAACCCUUAUCUUUAGUUGCCAGCACGUAAAGGUGGGGACUCUAGAGAGACUGCCGGGGAGAACUCGGAGGAAGGUGGGGACGACGUCAAAUCAUCAUGCCCCUUAUGUCCUGGGCUACACACGUGCUACAAUGGCCAGAAACAGAGGGUGGCGAAGCGGUAACGCGGAGCGAAUCUCAGAAAGCUGGUCCCAGUUCGGAUUGUGGGCUGCAACCCGCCCACAUGAAGUCGGAGUUGCUAGUAAUCGCGAAUCAGCAUGUCGCGGUGAAUGCGUUCCCGGGCCUUGUACACACCGCCCGU